CAGGAAAAGGCUGAUUAUCCCGAAAUAAAUCUAACUGCAUUUAAAUUCUGUCUAUGCUACAGCAAAUGUCUCCAUUCACAUAAAAGUCAGUUAAAAGAAUGCAUUUAAGAAAAUGAAGGUGUAAGUGUAAAAAUCGAAAAUGAAUUACGUAAUCUACAAAAUGUGGAUCUUGAUAUUUAAUCGGCUUUUCUCUCAGGCUAUAAAUAAACAUUAAAAAUUAU